rnacentral:rRNA from 1 species
UACGGAGGGUGCAAGCGUUAUCCGGAUUCACUGGGUUUAAAGGGUGCGUAGGCGGGUUGGUAAGUCAGUGGUGAAAUCUUCAAGCUUAACUUGGAAACUGCCGUUGAUACUAUCAAUCUUGAAUGUUGUGGAGGUAAGCGGAAUAUGUCAUGUAGCGGUGAAAUGCUUAGAUAUGACAUAGAACACCGAUAGCGAAGGCAGCUUGCUACACAGUAAUUGACGCUGAGGCACGAAAGCGUGGGGAUCAAACAGG